rnacentral:rRNA from 1 species
CGCGUAGGCGGCUACUCAAGUCGGGGGUGAAAGCCCGGGGCUCAACCCCGGAACUGCCCUCGAAACUAGGUAGCUAGAAUCUUGGAGAGGCGAGUGGAAUUCCGAGUGUAGAGGUGAAAUUCGUAGAUAUUCGGAAGAACACCAGUGGCGAAGGCGACUCGCUGGACAAGUAUUGACGCUGAGGUGCGAAAGCGUGGGGAGCAAACA